UGAGGCUUAGCCAAGGGCAGGGAGCUUGGAGGGUAGAGAGAUCUUAAGACAGUUGAUUUCUAUAAUGGAUGUGUAAAAGCAAUUAUUAUCAUCGAAUCAAGAACAAAAACCAGAGGUUAUUUAAUUUAGUGCCUGUGGUAUGCCUGAUAAAAGAUUUACUUAGUGUUUCAUCGUCCAUGUGUGACGAAGUUGUUUCUCUUUACAAAUUGUUGCUGACCUCCAUUACUUCUUCAGCAUGUGCCCACUCACUUCUGCACUAGGUAAUUUGGGCACACUGAUUUUUAAGCCUUGGCUUUAAGUUAAUACAAGGGCAGCGUGAUCCUAGGAAGUUAAUUUACCCAGUUUUUGUUAUCUGCACGUACUGAAUCCUAUGUAGAGAAAAUAGGUUAGGGUAGGGUUAUAAUUGUUAUCAUGACUGUUUUCUAACAGAUCCUUGUUUGAUAGGAGAAAAAUUAGGAAAUUGAACCCAUUUUAAGAACCCCCACCCAAUAUCCUUCAUUUUCUCGGUAGCACUGCAUAUGACAGUAAUUGAAAUUUCUAUUUGAUUGGGAAACUUUACAUUUCCCCCUUCUAUUUGCAGAUUCUAAAUGGAGGGACUCCAGACAUUCCUUCCACUGGCCUACUAUCAGGGCAGGCUCAAGAGACCCCAGGUUAUCCAUAUUCUGAUAGUUCUUCUAUUCUUGGUGAGAACCCCCACAUAGGCAUCGAUAUGAUAGACAACGACCAAGGAUCCAGUAGUCCCAGUAAUGACGAGGCAGCGAUGGCUGUCAUCAUGAGCCUCUUGGAAGCAGAUGCGGGCCUGGGUGGUCCUGUUGACUUUAGCGACUUGCCAUGGCCGCUGUAGACACAUUUUGCUUUGGCAACAGCUACAGUAUCAAAGUGCAUUACUGGUGAAGUUUUACAGUCUGUGAAGCUUACUGGAUAGGGAGAGAACAGCUUUUAUGUACUGACUCCAUAAAAGCCAUCUCAGAGCCAUUGAUACAAGUCAAUCUACCAUGUGUAACUUCAGACAAAGUGGAACUAAGCCUGCUCCAGUGUUUUCUCAUCAUCGAGUUUGGGCUAGCUGUGGAUAGCUUGCAUUAAUUGUAUAUUUUGGAUUUUGUUUGUGUUGAAUUUUUUAAUCAUUGUGCACAGAAGCAUCAUUGGUAGCUUUUAUAUGCAAAAUGGUCAUUUCAGAUGUAUGGUGUUUUUACACUACAAAGAAGUCCCCCAUGUGGAUAUUUCUUAUACUAAUUGUAUCAUAAAGCUGUUUAUUCUUCCUUGUAAGAAUCCUUUACUAUAAAUAUGGGUUAAAGUA